GGAAGCGUGGCUGAGUGGUUUAAAGCAGCAGAUUGCUAAUCUGUCGUCCGCAAGGACCAUAGGUUCGAAUCCUAUCGCUUCCG
rnacentral:tRNA from 1 species